rnacentral:lncRNA from 1 species
UUGAGGCAACAAUUUCUAAUUCCGAACUCGAAAUGAAACUGUGUAAACCAUCUUCCAAGCUAUCCCACUCAGUAUCAUUGGAGCCUGACCAAUCCUGACGCACCGUUUCCACGAUUCCAACAGCUUUGUUGCCUCAAUUCCCCAGUGUGGUCGCUGAACCGAACGGCUCCAUCACCAGCGGGUCCUGAUCCUAGCUCAUAUGGUAUAAUUCAGACAAGCUCAUGCGGACAAGGCCCACAACCCGAAUUCAGGUACCAGUCUACCAGACACAUAAUCCGAUGCACAUCUGAUUGCCGACCGGACUUGAUCUGAUAGGCUGGGAACCAUUUUCCCAAUACCUCCCAUCCUUACUGAACAAACUGAACUACAGAUAGAUACGUCGUGUAAGGUGAGAUUAUCUUUAAAAGGCAGCGCGUGCUCUCCUUUGUUGUGUUUUUUCGAUGCCUAACUCUUAGCUCUGCGCUCAUCGUCGUCUGCUUUUUAUGUGUU